rnacentral:rRNA from 1 species
GCAAGUCGAGCGGUAACAGAGAGAAGCUUGCUACUUUGCUGACGAGGGGCGGACGGGUGAGAAAUGCUUGGAAACAUGCAUUGAGGGGGGGGACAACAGGUGGAAACGACUGCUAAUACCGCAUAAUGUAUACGGACCAAAGGGGGCUUCGGCUCUCGCCUUUAGAUUGGCCCAAGUGGGAUUAGCUAGUUGGUGAGGUAAUGGCUCACCAAGGCAACGAUCCCUAGCUGGUUUGAGAGGAUGAUC